rnacentral:sRNA from 1 species
GCUGGGCAUAGUGGUGCAUGCCUGUGAUACCAGUGGCUCAGGAGGCUGAGGCAGGAGGAUCACAAGUUCGAGUCCAGCCUCAGCAAUUUAGUGAGGCCCUAAGCAACUUAGUGAGACUCUGUCUCAA